AUUUUGUUUGUGGAAACACCACGUAAAUUUAUUACUGCAAUAAUAAAUAAAAAAUAAUAAUUUAUUACUGCAGUAAUAAAUUUACGUGGUGUUUCCACAAACA